UAAGGGCGCACGGUGGAUGCCUUGGCACUAGAAGCCGAUGAAGGACGUUACUAACGACGAUAUGCUUUGGGGAGCUGUAAGUAAGCUUUGAUCCAGAGAUUUCCGAAUGGGGAAACCCAGCAUGAGUUAUGUCAUGUUAUCGAUAUGUGAAUACAUAGCAUAUCAGAAGGCACACCCGGAGAACUGAAACAUCUUAGUACCCGGAGGAAGAGAAAGAAAAUUCGAUUCCCUUAGUAGCGGCGAGCGAAACGGGAAGAGCCCAAACCAACAAGCUUGCUUGUUGGGGUUGUAGGACACUCUAUACGGAGUUACAAAGGACGACAUUAGACGAAUCAUCUGGAAAGAUGAAUCAAAGAAGGUAAUAAUCCUGUAGUCGAAAAUGUUGUCUCUCUUGAGUGGAUCCUGAGUACG
rnacentral:rRNA from 1 species